UAGUCGAGUGCUUGAAUGAAGAUUUUCAUCCGAGCUUUUCAAUAGGUAUAAUUGGAUCCAUUGAAAAGUGGAGGUCGGUUAGUGGACUGCCCCUCGGCUAGAGAAGUGCCAACUUGAGUUGCCAUAGAUCUUUGGCUCUUUGAUUGGUUAGAUCAAAGUAGGGUUAGAGCACUGGGCUCUGAUACCACUUGUUGCCCAGCUAUGCAACCCA
rnacentral:lncRNA from 1 species